AACCUUUAGCCAAACAAAUAUUAAAGGCAACGCCUGCCCAGUGAAUAAUUAAACGGCCGCGGUAUCCUAACCGUGCAAAGGUAGCGUAAUCAUUUGUCUACUAAUUAUAGACCUGUAUGAAAGGCAACAUGAGGAUCCAACUGUCUCUUAUAAUAAAUCAAUUAAACUGAUCUCCUAGUAAAAAAGCUAGAAUUACAACAUAAGACCAGAAGACCCUGUGAAGCUUAAAUUAAACUAUUAAAUCAUAUAAUAACUAUUUUCGGUUGGGGCGACCUUGGAAAAAAAAAGAACUUCCAAACAUCAUGACUAUACCUCAUACCACCAAACAGGCCAACAAGCCUAAAAUCGACCCAGCACAGCUGACAAUUGAACCAAGUUACUCCAGGGAUAACAGCGCAAUCUUCUUCAAGAGCCCAUAUCAAAAAGAAGGUUUACGACCUCGAUGUUGGAUCAGGACAUCCUAAUGGUGCAGCCGCUAUUAAGGGUUCGUUUGUUCAACGAUUAACAGUCCU
rnacentral:rRNA from 1 species